rnacentral:misc_RNA from 1 species
CAUUCUCAAAAAGAACCCUUCUUGGUCUUUGCGAUCGGAAAAGGCCUCUUUUUGGACUUUGGAGGUUAUUGCUGGUCCCCCCUUGAUAGCCAGCUCCUCUUAAAUGAAUUAGUAGGGACCACUUUGCUGACCCUAGACGUGAUAAGAUGUUUCUGCGUCUUGGGUAAUUGCUCUGUCCUUUGGAAACCUGCUUCUAACCGUCUUGUCAAAAGACAGCGUUCGAGCCUUUCUCGUUGAUCGGGCAAGGCUUGACUUCAUGAA